AUGGGAUCGGUGGACUACUACGAGAUCCUGAAUGUCGACCGGAGCGCGACCGACGACGACCUCCGCAGGGCCUACCGGCGGCUGGCCAUGCGGUGGCACCCGGACAAGAACCCCACCGGCGACAAGGACUCCGAGGCCAAGUUUAAGGACAUCACCCAAGCCUACAACGUUCUCAGCGAUGCUAGUAAGAGGGCAGUGUACGACCAGUAUGGGGAGGAGGGGCUCAAGGGCCCGCCACAGCAGCCCGUCGACGACAUCUUCGCCGAGUUCUUCGGAAGCACGCCCUUCACGUACUGCAAUAACGCGCGCGGCAGACAGCGGCCGGCGUGCGACGGCAGCGGCUUCGGACGGCCUUACGGCGCCGGGGAUCAGGGCGGCGGGGCGCCACCACGUGCGCCGCCGGUCGAGACCAAACUGGCGUGCACGCUGGAGGAGCUCUACACGGGCAUCACCAAAAAUAUGAAGAUCUCCAGGAAUGUCGUCGACUCCAGCGGGAGGAUGAAGACGGAGUCCGAGGUUUUAUCGAUCGAGGUGAAGCCGGGGUGGAAGAAGGGUACCAAGAUCACGUUCCCUGGCAAGGGCAACCAGCAGUGGAACCAGCUCCCUGCUGACCUGGUGUUUGCCAUCGACGAAAGGCCACACCACAUGUACCGCCGCGACGGGAAGGACCUGGUCACGGAUGUCCGUCUCACCCUCGCGGAGGCCCUAGGCAUGGUGAUCGUGCUCCCCACCCUCGAUGGCCGAGAACUGGCGGUGGACGUGGGCGGCGGCCAGGAGGAGGAAGCCCCCAUGGUUCGCCCCGGCUAUGAGCUCGUGGUACCGAUGGAGGGCAUGCCCAUCGCCCGCGAGCCCGGCCGUCGGGGAAGCCUCAGAAUUCGGUUUGAUGUCAUAUUCCCGGACCGGCUCAAGCGCGAUGCGCGCCUGCAGAUCAAGAGAAUCCUGGAGGCCGACGCCGCUUGA
rnacentral:rRNA from 1 species